rnacentral:lncRNA from 1 species
AUGAGACAAUCCCUUCUUCUUCUUCUUUUCUUUCUUUUUCCCACACCAUGCGGAAAUAUGCUCUCCUCCUCCUCCUCGGGCAAAGGACACGAGGGGGCGGGUGGAAAUGUCUCCUGCUCCAUCCGCAACGAGCCAAUCGCCGGCCGACCCCAAGUUCCCGGGAGGGGAGUCUCCCGCCAACGCCCCCCUUUGGUGUGCAGUGGUGACGCCGGCCGUGACGUCAGCAAUGGAACGUUUCGGGAACCCUGCACCGGGGCCGGAACGAACCAUUCUCGCGGGAGGGGUGCGGAUCCGACCCCGGCUGAAGCUCCGCUUGCCCCCCGCUCUCCGCCCGCUUGCCCACCGCACCGCCCGAGGAUGUAUCAGAGCCCGGCGCGCUCCCUCUGCUCGGCCCUCUCCAGCCUCUGCUGCGCCCCAGCCGCCACGUCCUCCUCCUCCUCGCGGCUCCUGCGCUCCCCGGCGCCGGUCAAGAGAGACCUUUCUUCGCCCACCCGGCUGGCCUCCGCCUCCUCUUCCUCCGGCUCCCUCGCAGCGUUUGCGCAGCCGCAGCGACUUCUCUCGCAGUGAGUCGAGACCUGAGUGCGCUCACUUCCUUUUCCAGUCUGAGCGAACCUACCAUAAUAG